AGCUGGCGGCGUGCCUAAUCAUGCAAGUCGAGCGGACAGAUGGGAGCUUGCUCCCUGAUGUUAGCGGCGGACGGGUGAGUAACACGUGGGUAACCUGCCUGUAAGACUGGGAUAACUCCGGGAAACCGGGGCUAAUACCGGAUGCUUGUUUGAACCGCAUGGUUCAAACAUAAAAGGUGGCUUCGGCUACCACUUACAGAUGGACCCGCGGCGCAUUAGCUAGUUGGUGAGGUAAUGGCUCACCAAGGCAACGAUGCGUAGCCGACCUGAGAGGGUGAUCGGCCACACUGGGACUGAGACACGGCCCAGACUCCUACGGGAGGCAGCAGUAGGGAAUCUUCCGCAAUGGACGAAAGUCUGACGGAGCAACGCCGCGUGAGUGAUGAAGGUUUUCGGAUCGUAAAGCUCUGUUGUUAGGGAAGAACAAGUGCCGUUCGAAUAGGGCGGCACCUUGACGGUACCUAACCAGAAAGCCACGGCUAACUACGUGCCAGCAGCCGCGGUAAUACGUAGGUGGCAAGCGUUGUCCGGAAUUAUUGGGCGUAAAGGGCUCGCAGGCGGUUUCUUAAGUCUGAUGUGAAAGCCCCCGGCUCAACCGGGGAGGGUCAUUGGAAACUGGGGAACUUGAGUGCAAAAAAGGAAAGUGGAAUUCCACGUGUAGCGGUGAAAUGCGUAAAGAUGUGGAGGAACACCAGUGGCGAAGGCGACUCUCUGGGUCUGUA
rnacentral:rRNA from 1 species